UACAGAGGGUGCAAGCGUUGCUCGGAAUCAUUGGGCGUAAAGGGUAGGUAGGUGGUCUCAUUUGUGUGGGGUGAAAGCCUUGGGCUUAACUCAAGAAGUGCCCCGCAAACGGUGAGACUGGAGUCCUAGAGAGGCUAGCGGAAUUCCCGGUGUAGCGGUGAAAUGCGCAGAUAUUAGGAGGAACACCGGUGGCGAAGGCGCCACUCUGGGCCGAAACUGACGCUGAGGAGCGAAAGCAUGGGUAGCAAACAGG
rnacentral:rRNA from 1 species